rfam:Pseudogulbenkiania sp. NH8B DNA, complete genome.
GGCACAGCGAUUGCUAAAUAGCCGGCAGGCGGACCAACGGCGGUCCGCACUUGAAAGGGACAACGGCGUCCC